GCGGCAGCUAUACCUUUGCCAGUUGUGAAGUCCUUGCUUGGUCCUUAUCUUGUAUUCCUCUCUUCAACAGUGAAUGGGUAUGAAGGUACAGGAAGGUCAUUAUCUUUAAAACUGUUGCAGCAACUUGAGCAACAAGAUCGGAUUUCAAGCCAAAGUGUGGAUACUGGUGUUUCAGGCCGAUUGAAAAAGAUUGAAUUAAGUGAAGCAAUCAGAUAUGCCUCUGGCGAUCCAAUUGAAUCCUGGCUUCAUUCAUUGCUGUGUUUGGAUGCAACAAAUUCCAUUCCUAGUAUAAGUAGG